UACGUAGGUGGCAAGCGUUGUCCGGAAUGACUGGGUGUAAAGGGUGCGUAGGCGGGACUGCAAGUCAGGUGUGAAAUACCGUAGCUUAACUACGGGGCUGCACUUGAAACUGUAGUUCUUGAGUAGAGGAGAGGUAAGCGGAAUUCCCAGUGUAGCGGUGAAAUGCGUAGAUAUUGGGAGGAACACCAGUGGCGAAGGCGGCUUACUGGACUCAAACUGACGCUGAGGCACGAAAGUGUGGGGAGCAAAC
rnacentral:rRNA from 1 species